GUGCUCGCUUUGGCAGCAUAUUUGCUAAAACUGGAACAAUACAGAGAAGAUUAGCAUGGCCCCCGUGUGAGGAUCACAUGCAAAAGACUGGUAUGGAACCUGGAUAG